AUGCACACCUUCCCAGAACCCUCCAGCACCACGCCAGGUCCAGCGGUGGUCCAAGGGGCCACACCGCAUCCACGUCCAGCGGCGGUGCCAGAGGAUGCAUCGCAUCCACAUCCAGCGGUGGUCCCAGAGGUCACACCGCAUCCAGUUCCAGCGGUGGUACCAGAGGUUGCACCGCAUCUAGGUCCAGCGGUGGUACCAGAGGUUGCACCGCAUCUAGGUCCAGUGGUGGUCCCACCUCAGUCUGUCCAACAGGCUCUGGCCCAGCCUGUCCAAGAGUCCCCGGUCCAACCUGUCCAGGAGACUCCGCCUGCCCAAGAGGCUCCACCUCCAGUCAAGUCAGCGCCACGUCCGGCGUCUCCAGUCAAGUCAGAGCCACGUCCGGCAUCUCCAGUCAAGUCAGUGCCACGUCCGGCAUCUCCAGUCAAGUCAGUGCCACGUCCGGCAUCUCCAGUUAAGUCAGCACCACUUCUGACUUCUCCAAUCAAGUUGCCCCCUCCAGAGUCUACGUCCCCUCAGCCUUCAGCCUCCACGUCCCCUCAGCCUCCAGUGUCUUUGUCCCCUCUGCCUCCAGAGUCCUCGGCAUCCCCCUCUGCCUACAGAGUCUUCGGUGUCUCCACCAGCUUCGGCAGCAGUCACCGCCGUCCCGGUCCUCGCCCGUCGCCUCCUGUGCCACAGACGCCGGCUCCCCAGACUCCGGAUCCCCCACCUGAGUCUCUGGUCUCCCAAGGUUCCCCAGAUCCACCGCCUCUGUCCCAGGCCCAUCCUGGUUCCCCGUUGCCGGCCUCCCAGACCCCCCGGUCCCUGGUCCCCCGUUGCCGGCCUCCCAGACUUCCCUGGUCCCUGUUCCACCGUUGCCGGCCUCCCAGACUCCCCUGGUCCCUGUUCCACCGUCGCCAGCCUGAAGGACCAUCAGGCUGGUCCCUUGGUCCCUCCUCGCCGGCCACCAGACUCUCCAGGUCCCGGCCUCCCUUGGUCCCUCGUCGCCAGCUUCCCCCCGGACUCUCCUGUGUUUUGGUCCCCCUCGCCUGCCCUUGA
rnacentral:lncRNA from 1 species